UGGAUCCAGACUUUGAUUCUGGCUCAGGAUGAACGCUGGCGGCGUGCCUAAUACAUGCAAGUCGAACGAAACUUCUUUAUCACCGAGUGCUUGCACUCACCGAUAAAGAGUUGAGUGGCGAACGGGUGAGUAACACGUGGGCAACCUGCCCGAAAGAGGGGGAUAACACUUGGAAACAGGUGCUAAUACCGCAUAACCAUGAAUACCGCAUGGUAUUUAUGUGAAAGGUGGUUUCGGCUACCGCUUUCGGAUGGGCCCGCGGCGCAUUAGCUAGUUGGUGGGGUAAAGGCUUACCAAGGCAAUGAUGCGUAGCCGAACUGAGAGGUUGAUCGGCCACAUUGGGACUGAGACACGGCCCAAACUCCUACGGGAGGCAGCAGUAGGGAAUCUUCCACAAUGGGCGAAAGCCUGAUGGAGCAACGCCGCGUGGGUGAAGAAGGUCUUCGGGUCGUAAAGCCCUGUUGUCAGAGAAGAAAGUGCAUGAGAGUAACUGUUCAUGUUUCGACGGUAUCUGACCAGAAAGCCACGGCUAACUACGUGCCAGCAGCCGCGGUAAUACGUAGGUGGCAAGCGUUAUCCGGAUUUAUUGGGCGUAAAGGGAACGCAGGCGGUCUUUUAAGUCUGAUGUGAAAGCCUUCGGCUUAACCGGAGUAGUGCAUUGGAAACUGGGAGACUUGAGUGCAGAAGAGGAGAGUGGAACUCCAUGUGUAGCGGUGAAAUGCGUAGAUAUAUGGAAGAACACCAGUGGCGAAAGCGGCUCUCUGGUCUGUAACUGACGCUGAGGUUCGAAAGCGUGGGUAGCAAACAGGAUUAGAUACCCUGGUAGUCCACGCCGUAAACGAUGAAUGCUAAGUGUUGGAGGGUUUCCGCCCUUCAGUGCUGCAGUUAACACAAUAGGCAUUCCGCCUGGGGAGUACGACCGCAAGGUUGCAACUCAAA
rnacentral:rRNA from 1 species